rnacentral:rRNA from 1 species
UCCUUUAGAUGCUCUGGGCUGCACGCGCGCUACAAUGUUAAAAACAAUAAGAAUAAUUUAAAGCUAAUUUGAAAAGAUCAUUUUUUAAAUAAAAUGAAAAGCUACUCUUAUAAUUUUUAACGUAGUUGGGAUUGAUGAUUGUAAUCAUUAUCAUGAACCAGGAAUCCCUUGUAAAAGUGUGUCAACAACGCACGUUGAAUACGUCCCUGCCCU